rnacentral:rRNA from 1 species
GAGUUUGAUCCUGGCUCAGAGCGAACGCUGGCGGCGUGCCUAACACAUGCAAGUCGAACGUGAAAUGUAGCAAUACAGAGUAAAGUGGCGCACGGGUGAGUAACACGUAGGUAAUCUACCUUACAGUUCGGAAUAACCUGCCGAAAGGCGGGCUAAUACUGGAUAGAGCGAGGAAUCCGUAAUUGGUUUUUUCGGGAAAGGGAGCUCGAUAAGAGCCUUCGCUGUAAGAUGAGCCUGCGUCCCAUUAGUUAGUUGGUGAGGUAAUGGCUCACCAAGACGAUGAUGGGUAGCUGGUCUGAGAGGAUGAUCAGCCACACUGGAACUGAAACACGGUCCAGACUCCUACGGGAGGCAGCAGUGGGGAAUCUUGCGCAAUGGACGAAAGUCUGACGCAGCCACGCCGCGUGAGUGAAGAAGGCC